rnacentral:rRNA from 1 species
GGUGAGUAACACGUGGAUAACCUACCUAUAAGACUGGGAUAACCUCGGGAAACCGGAGCUGAUACCGGAUAAUAUAUUGAACCGCAUGGUUCAAUAGUGAAAGACGGUUUUGCUGUCACUUAUAGAUGGAUCCGCGCCGCAUUAGCUAGUUGGUAAGGUAACGGCUUACCAAGGCAACGAUGCGUAGCCGACCUGAGAGGGUGAUCGGCCACACUGGAACUGAGACACGGUCCAG